rnacentral:rRNA from 1 species
AUUAACGAUAAGUAGUAUAAUUAACCUUACACGAAACAAUUUGAGCUAACUACUUAUAAAUUUUAGUGAAGUGUACAGUAUGUCGCAAAAUACUGUUUAAUAGGUAGUUAGGGGUGAUAGGCCAAGCAAAAGUUGUGAUAUCUUGAUCCUAGGGAAAUGCAUUUAGUGAUUAAACGGAUAAGGAGUGACAAGGCUCUUUAUUAAAAUUAAAUAUCAUGCACAUAAUCUAUGGCCCUAACAGGCGAUACUGUUGAAGAUUAAUAUUAAAAAUUGAACAUUUGUUUUUACUACCUUUGGGGGUUAAAUUACAGAAAUCAUAAUGUUAAUAUAAGUAACCUAUUAGGUCAACAAAAUGAACUCGGCAACUAUACCUCUCGACUGUUUACCAAAAACAUAGCUGUGUGAUAUAACACACAGUUUUUUCUGCUCAAUGAGUUUUAAAUAGCCGCAGUACCCUGACUGUGCAAAGGUAGCAUAAUCAUUUGGCUUAUAAUUGAAGUCUGGUAUGAAUGAAUAAACGGGGGGUGACUGUAUCUUGUUGUGAUUUUGAAAUUAGUUAGUAAGUGAAAAUACUUACACUUAACUAAUAGACGAGAAGACCCUAGAAAUUAAAAAUGACGUUUGUUGGGGCGACAUAAUAGCAAUUUAACCUAUUAUUAUUUAUACUAGUGUUUAAUUAAAGGUAAGGAUAAUUACUCUAGGGAUAACAGCAUAAUUUAUCAAAGAUUGUGACCUCGAUGUUGGACUAGGAAUUUUAAGCCCAGAAGGCAAAAAAGAUUGCUCUGUUCGAGC